UACGUAGGGUGCAAGCGUUAAUCGGAAUUACUGGGCGUAAAGCGUGCGCAGGCGGCUUUGCAAGACAGAUGUGAAAUCCCCGGGCUUAACCUGGGAACUGCAUUUGUGACUGCAUGGCUGGAGUGCGGCAGAGGGGGAUGGAAUUCCGCGUGUAGCAGUGAAAUGCGUAGAUAUGCGGAGGAACACCGAUGGCGAAGGCAAUCCCCUGGGCCUGCACUGACGCUGAGGAGCGAAAGCGUGGGGAGCGAUCAGG
rnacentral:rRNA from 1 species